UACCAACUGGUAAGUUACUAGUUUAGCUUUGCUCUAGUGUUCCGAGUGUUCGCAAGCUUAGUCUAAUAAGUAUAAGCAUUAUUGUGCGCGAAACAUUUGCAUUAACAUCACGAUUUUUUAGAAGUUACUCUUACACAAGUCAGCAAUAUCUUUCAAGAUUGAUCAAAACGAUCUAUCAGCCUAAGAAAAGUUUGUGAAACUUUUACUGCAGAAAUUUAUAUAGACAUUACACAUUACAUAUAUCAAAAUACUAAUUAUUAUCAAGAAAAAUGAUUUUACCCAACAAUAUUAAUGACUGGGUGGAUUUCAUUGUGAUACUAUCAGAAACAUGGAUCAUUUUCUUAAUCAGUACAUACAGGAAAUAUAUGACAUCACCAACGAAUACUUUAUCAACAAUUACUUCAGAUACAUACAGCAAUUCAAUAAAUUUAGAUCCGAAUUGUGAAAAUGAUUAUCAUAUAAUGUCACUAAUUUUGUUUAAUUUACUAAAAUGGCUCGUUAUUCCUUUUGGAUAUAAUUUGUUCCAAACGCUAAUUAUGUGGAAUAUGUACAACUGCUUCGACAAACUGUUAGGGACGAACAAAUGGAUACGCUGGACGCGCUGGAUACGUUCGAUACGCCGUAUAUACCAAUUUAUAUAGGUUAGAAUUCUUUAAAAAGAAUGUAUAUUUUUCUUAUAAAAUAUUAUAAAACGUUAUUGUCUUCGGGUGGAAUAUCGUGAACUGAGCUAUGUAACAUCAAAAUACUCACGGCUUUGAUAUAAAGUCAAGGUUCAUCGUGUACAGAUUCGCGGAAAAUUGAGAGCACAGUGAGCCACGUGGCCAGAGUAAUUCGUUAUUGUCAGUAGCUCAUGGCUUAUUUUGCAGCUUGCUGCACGUGGCUCGCAGCUCACAGAUCGUGGCUUGUUAUUCGUGGCUCAUCAUUCCCGUCCAUUAUCGAUAAAUAGAUCGCGAAUUAAUAACCCGGCCGAAUAUAUUAUUGUUUUCUCCAUUAUACAAACAUUGAAAAUAAAUCCACUAUUAAUUUGAGACGUUACUAAUUUCAAACAUUACGCUAUACAUAUAUCAAGAUACUAGUUACUAUCAAGAAAAAUGAUUUUACCUAACAAUAUUGAAGACUGGGUGGAUUUCACUCUGAUGCUAUUAGAAAACUUGAUCCCUUUACGUACGGGUAAAGUAAUUUAUAUUAAAGAAAUAAUGUUUUAUAUAUAUUAUUCUUUUAAUUGUAUAAGCUUCAAGGAUGGCAAAUGUUACGCCAUUAUAUUUGUUAACAAUAAAUAAAUUUAUAAGAAAUAAUAUCUCU
rnacentral:lncRNA from 13 species